rnacentral:lncRNA from 1 species
AAGCUUCUCACACUUCAGCUUCAGCUUACCUUUCAAGCUUUAUUUCUCAUUCUCCCCGUUCUCUGAAUACAGCAUGCCUCUCUAGACUUCCUUGCCUUUGUACUUGCAAUCCCUUCUGCCCAGGAGGCCUUCCCUUCCUGUCUCUAUAUAGUGAAUUCCUACUCAUCCUUUAGGACCCAGUCCAGAAGGCAGCUCCUACAGCAGUUCUUCCUACCCAGCCGGCCACACUUCCACUGUGCUGUCACAUGCUCUGUCUUGCCUCCACUGACACACAUCACCUGGAUGACAGGUACUUGUUUGUAUG